GAGGGUAUAGCCCAAGUGUUAAAGCACAUACUUAGCAUGCAUGAGGUCCUGGGUUCAAUCCCCAGUACCUCCA
rfam:Camelus ferus unplaced genomic scaffold scaffold661, whole genome shotgun sequence.